GGUCAAGUUAUUAAGGGUGCAGGGCGGAUGCCUUGGCACUAGGAGCCGAUGAAGGACGUGAUAAGCUGCGAUAAGCUUCGGGGAGUUGCACGUAAACUUUGAUCCGAAGAUUUCCGAAUGAGGAAACUCACUUAGAGUAAUGUCUAAGUAUCAUUAAGUGAAUACAUAGCUUAAUGAGGGGAACUCAGGGAACUGAAACAUCUAAGUACCUGAAGGAAGAGAAAGAAAUUCGAUUCCGUAAGUAGCGGCGAGCGAACGCGGAUUAGCCCAAACCAAUAAAGUUUUCUUUAUUGGGGUUGCGGACAUAUCAUAACGAAGAGGUAUCGUAAUUGAAGAGGUUUGGAAAGACCCACCACAGAAGGUAAUAGUCCUGUAUGUUAAACGAGAAGACUUUAGAUAUGAUCCAGAGUACCACGGGACACGUGAAACCCUGUGGGAAGCAGGAGGGACCACCCUCCAAGGCUAAAUACUACCUAGUGACCGAUAGCGUAUAGUACCGUGAGGGAAAGGUGAAAAGAACCCCGGGAGGGGAGUGAAAUAGAACCUGAAACCCUGCACUUACAAGCUGUGGAAGCACAUUUCUUGUGUGACCGCGUACUUUUUGUAGAACGGGCCAACGAGUUACGUUAAGUAGCAAGGUUAAGCACUUAAGGUGCGGAGCCGUAGCGAAAGCGAGUUUUAACUGAGCGUUCAGUUACUUGACGUAGACCCGAAACCGGGCGACCUACCCAUGAGCAGGAUGAAGCGAAAGUAAAAUUUCGUGGAGGUCCGAACCCACGAGCGUUGAAAAGCUCGGGGAUGACUUGUGGGUAGCGGUGAAAUUCCAAUCGAGCCCGGAGAUAGCUGGUUCUCCCCGAAAUAGCUUUAGGGCUAGCCUCAAGGUGAGAGAUACGGAGGUAGAGCACUGAAUGUCCUAGGGGGUAUUGCACCUACCGAAGACUAUCAAACUCCGAAUGCCGUCAUCUUAUACUUGGGAGUCAGACUGUGGGUGAUAAGAUUCAUAGUCGAAAGGGCAACAGCCCAGAUCGUCAGCUAAGGUCCCUAAAUGUAAGUUAAGUGGUAAAGGAUGUGGGAUUGCACAGACAACCAGGAUGUUGGCUUAGAAGCAGCCACUCAUUCAAAGAGUGCGUAAUAGCUCACUGGUCGAGUGAUCCUGCGCCGAAGAUUUCCGGGGCUAAAACUUACUACCGAAGCUACGGCAUCAGUAAUGAUGGGUAGGGGAGCUUCCCAUACGGGUUGAAGCAUGACCGUAAGGACAUGUGGACAGUAUGGGAGUGAGAAUGUUGGCAUGAGUAGCGAGAUGUGGGUGAGAAUCCCACAGGCCGUAAACCCAAGGUUUCCAGGGGAAGGUUCGUCCGCCCUGGGUUAGUCGGGACCUAAGCUGAGGCCGAAAGGCGUAGGUGAUGGACAACAGGUUGAUAUUCCUGUACUACCGAUAACCGUUUGAGAGAAGGGAUGACACAGUAGGAUAAGCUAAGCACACUGUUGGUUAUGUGUGCCCAAGCAUUGAGGCAGUCAAAGUAGGCAAAUCCGCUUUGAUAAUGCUGGGAUGUGAUGGGGAGCGAAAUUUAGUAGCGAAGUAGCUGAUUUCACACUGUCAAGAAAAGUCUCUAUCGAGGUUAAAGGUACCCGUACCGCAAACCGACACAGGUGGGUGAGGAGAGUAUCCUAAGGCCAGCGAGAGAACUGUUGUUAAGGAACUCGGCAAAAUGACCCCGUAACUUAGGGAUAAGGGGUGCCACCAUCAGGUGGCCGCAGAGAAUAGGCCCAAGCGACUGUUUACCAAAAACAUAGGUUUCUGCUAAGUCGCAAGACGAUGUAUAGGAGCUGACGCCUGCCCGGUGCUGGAAGGUUAAGGGGAUCUGUUAGAGCAAUCGAAGCAGUGAACUUAAGCCCCAGUAAACGGCGGCCGUAACUAUAACGGUCCUAAGGUAGCGAAAUUCCUUGUCGGGUAAGUUCCGACCCGCACGAAAGGCGUAACGAUUUGGGCACUGUCUCAACAACAGACUCGGUGAAAUUGUAAUUCCGGUGAAGAUGCCGGAUACCUGCGACAGGACGGAAAGACCCCAUGGAGCUUUACUGUAGCUUGACAUUGGGUCUUGGUACUACAUGUACAGGAUAGGUGGGAGGCUUUGAAACCAGGACGCCAGUUUUGGCGGAGCCAUCCUUGGGAUACCACCCUUGUAGUACUGGGACUCUAACCAUAGGCCAUGAAUCUGGUCUUGGGACACUGUCAGGUGGGCAGUUUGACUGGGGCGGUCGCCUCCCAAAAGGUAACGGAGGCGCUCAAAGGUUCUCUCAGUACGGUCGGAAAUCGUACGUAGAGUGUAAAGGCAAAAGAGAGCUUGAUUGCAAGACAUACAGGUCGAGCAAGGAUGAAAAUCGGACUUAGUGAUCCGGUGGUUCUGCGUGGAAGGGCCAUCGCUCAACGGAUAAAAGCUACCCUGGGGAUAACAGGCUUAUCUCCCCCAAGAGUCCACAUCGACGGGGAGGUUUGGCACCUCGAUGUCGGCUCAUCACAUCCUGGGGCUGUAGUAGGUCCCAAGGGUUGGGCUGUUCGCCCAUUAAAGUGGUACGCGAGCUGGGUUCAGAACGUCGUGAGACAGUUCGGUCCCUAUCCGUCGCAGGCGUAGGAAAUUUGAGAAGACCUGUCCUUAGUACGAGAGGACCGGGAUGGACGUACCUCUGGUGUACCAGUUGUCCUGCCAAGGGCAUGGCUGGGUAGCUAUGUGCGGAAUGGAUAAGCGCUGAAAGCAUCUAAGCGCGAAGCCAACUUCAAGAUAAGAUUUCCCACCGCAAGGGUAAGACCCCAGAAAGACUAUCUGGUUGAUAGGUCGAAGGUGUAAGUGCAGCAAUGUAUUUAGCUUAUCGAUACUAAUAGGUCGAGGACUUGACCAA
rnacentral:rRNA from 1 species